ACACGCAUGACACACUGCAUAUCAAUAAGCGGAGGAAAAGAAACUAACUAGGAUUCCCUUAGUAACGGCGAGUGAAGCGGGAAGAGCUCAAAUUUGAAAUCUUCAAGGUUUUACCUUGACGAAUUGUAGUUUAAAGAAGUGUUUUCUGUUGGAGUUUUGGUAAAAGUUCUUUGGAAUAGGACAUCAUAGAGGGUGAGAAUCCCGUAUUUGACCAUUAUUUCCAGCUUUGUGAUACACUUUCAAAGAGUCGGAUUGUUUGGGAAUGCAGUCCAAAAUGGGUGGUAAAUUUCAUCUAAAGCUAAAUAUUGGCGAGAGACCGAUAGCGAACAAGUACCGUGAGGGAAAGAUGAAAAGAACUUUGAAAAGAGAGUUAAACAGUACGUGAAAUUGUCAAAAGGGAAGCGUUUGACACCAGUGUUGUUUUCUCGAAAAUCAAUUAAAAAUGAUGGGAUUUUGUGUUGUAUUGACUUUAUCAGCUUUCUGCACUUUUUUCUUAUCUUUUUUAAUGCACUUUUCGUUUAACAAGUCAACAUCAGUUUCUUUUGUUGUAAAAGGGUCAUUGGAAGGUGGCUUUCUUUUCGGAGAAAGUGUUUAUAGCCUUUGGCUUCUGCAAUCGGAGAGAUUGAGGUCUGCAGCGUAGAUCCUUCGGGGUUAGAUACAUUUGUGCUAAGCUAUAGCCUUGUAUAGACAACUUGUUGACUAUGCUCAGUCAUGUAGCUUACUCGCUUGUGCUAUUUUACCUACGCUUAGGAUGUUGAGCGCAUGUCUCUCUCU
rnacentral:rRNA from 1 species